rnacentral:rRNA from 1 species
CCUACGGGAGGCAGCAGUGGGGAAUUUUCCGCAAUGGGCGAAAGCCUGACGGAGCAAUACCGCGUGAGGGAAGACUGCCUAUGGGUUGUAAACCUCUUUUUUCAGGGAGGAAUAAAAUGACGUGUACCUGAAGAAUAAGCAUCGGCUAACUCCGUGCCAGCAGCCGCGGUAAGACGGAGGAUGCAAGUGUUAUCCGGAAUCACUGGGCGUAAAGCGUCUGUAGGUGGUUUAAUAAGUCAACUGUUAAAUCUUGAGGCUCAACUUCAAAACCGCAGUCGAAACUAUUAGACUAGAGUAUAGUAGAGGUAAAGGGAAUUUCCAGUGGAGCGGUGAAAUGCGUAGAUAUUGGAAAGAACACCGAUGGCGAAAGCACUUUACUGGGCUAUUACUAACACUCAGAGACGAAAGCUAGGGUAGCAAAUGGGAUUAGAUACCCCAGUAGUCCUAGCCGUAAACUAUGGAUACUAGAUGUUGAACAGAUCGACCUGUGCAGUAUCAAAGCUAACGCGUUAAGUAUCCCGCCUGGGAAGUAUGCUCGCAAGNGUGAACUNAAAGAUGACGCNGAGAGNGCGAGACGACACGAGGAGAG